GAUGUGUAUAAGAGACAGCUUGGUCACACGCUCGGGAUUCUGCGUGAGGCGCCGGACAUCCAGGCGAUCAUGUAUGUCACGCCUCGAGUCCGACUGCCCGCGGCGAUCGAUCGGCGCACCAUGGAAGUGCUGUACCACACGACAGCGACCCUCGCACCGCCUCCGCCCUGACGGACGUCAGUGGACCCUUUUCGGAAUUGGAGCGUAUCGACAAGCGAACCCGGCCGAGAG
rnacentral:misc_RNA from 1 species